GUAUCCCUCUUGAGCUGCCUA
rnacentral:siRNA from 1 species